rnacentral:rRNA from 1 species
GACGAACCGUGCGAACGUUAUUCGGAAUCACUGGGCUUAAAGCGCGUGUAGGCGGGCCGGCACGUCGGUCGCUGAAAUCCCGCGGCUCAACCGCGGAAGGGGCGCCGAUACGACCGGCCUGGAGGGGGUAGGGGGCGCCGGAACUCACGGUGGAGCGGUGGAAAUGCGUUGAGAUCGUGAGGACGCCCGUGGCGAAAGCGGGCGCCUGGACCCCGCCUGACGCGAGACGCGA